ACGGAAGGCAGCAGUGGGGAAUAUUGCACAAUGGGCGAAAGCAUGAUGCAGCGACGCCGCGUGAGUGAAGAAGUAUCUCGGUAUGUAAAGCUCUAUCAGCAGGGAAGAAAAUGACGGUACCUGACUAAGAAGCCCCGGCUAACUACGUGCCAGCAGCCGCGGUAAUACGUAGGGGGCAAGCGUUAUCCGGAUUUACUGGGUGUAGAGGGAGCGUAGACGGUUUGGCAAGUCUGAAGUGAAAUGCGGGGGCUCAACUCCUGAACUGCUUUGGAAACUGUCGAACUAGAGUGCAGGAGAGGUAAGUGGAAUUCCUAGUGUAGCGGUGAAAUGCGUAGAUAUUAGGAGGAACUCCAGUGGCGAAGGCGGCUUACUGGACUGUAACUGACGUUGAGGCUCGAAAGCGUGGGGAGCAAACAGGAUUAGAUACCCUGGUA
rnacentral:rRNA from 1 species